UGAAAUUUGGGGCCUAACUCAUCCUUACAAAACCAGCAUAUAAGGUGAGGAUUGUCUCCUCCUUAUAAACUCUUCUCAAGAGUCUUGUCUAUCCGAUGUGGGACUUGAGAUUUUUCCAAUACAAAUGAUUCUUCUCCAAUUUUGAUAUGCUGAUUUUGUAUAGUAUUAAUUUGUAAUACCAAAAUUUUUUGUUGCUGUGUGUUGGAAAAGGAAAUAUACUUUUGAGUGUUGCAAUUAGUAUUAGUAAUUUUAGAAUGAAAAAAAUUAUGAAUUUCGUAAAAUCACUGCUUCAAAUUAAGCUUUUCCAAUAACCAAAUCUCAAAGAUUAUUAC
rnacentral:lncRNA from 1 species